GCCCCCAAGACACCUUAUCUAUAUUCACAGUGCAAUGUUAUUUGAAUUUUCUGAAAAGUUGCAUGUUUCUUUCCUGUAUUGUGUAAAAUGCAUGCAGGAUCUCUAUCUUAUUUUGUACAUCUUUAAAGCUUUUUCCAAACAUUCAUUCCUUAUUUCUCGAUUUUCAGGUGACUGAAAAUUCCUGAGGCUUUUUCCUGGAAAAGAGUGGGUAUUGGAGACCCAUGUCAGCUGUCAAAGGAGCCUGGAUACCAGGAGCUACCUGCUGUAUAGAGGCUGGCUUGGGGCACUGCCUGGGACAUAGAAACCCAGGAGAGGAGCUCAGCAGUUGUGUUUCACCCCACCUCUUGAUCUGAUUUUCCCACAGAAAUUCAGCCAGAAUCUUCUACUUAGGAGUCUUUAGCCCCCAGAUGGAGUCUUCAGAGCUUCAGGACUACCUACUCAAGACAUUUCAGUAGGAGGGGCUAGGAGUUUGACUCAGUGUUUGAACACUUCACUUGCACAUGUAGAGGGCCUGGAUUCAUUUUUCCUUACAAUAAAUAAAUGAAUAAAUAAGUAAAUAAAUAAGUAAAUAAAUGGCUUUUAAAGAAUUCAGAGGCAGCAGGCAUGGUGGCAUACACUAUUAAUCCCAGCACUUAGGAGACAGAGACGGAUGGAUCCUGGAAUUCAAAGCCAGCCUGAUCUACAGAGCAAGUUUUAGGACCGUCAGGUCUAUACAGAAAGGGGUCUUGAAAAGCCAGGGUGUGACUCUCCAGGUCAGAAUACUCUCAGCAUCUGUGCUGUUCCCAGUCUUGUUUCCGCUUGGCUUUCCAUAGAAUGUGCUGGAACAUACUACUGUUUAUGCCCCCACUGCCACACCUUUGUUGGAAUCUUUAGCCUGGGAACCCUUGAGCAUUUCCAAAGGACUCCCAGAAAAGAUAGUCACCCUGUCUAUAAUGUGUAGAGGAAAGUUGAGAAUCAUUUACUUUGGGUAAAGCAUUUUAAACUCUGAGCCUGUGUUCAUCUUUGUUGUUAGCACUUGUCCACAAGUUCUUGAAGGGUGGGGCUUUUUUGCAUCGCCUCUGUACUACAAUUCUCAAGAGUCUGCCUCUGGAGUUCAAUAAAGGUUUGGUCAAGUGCUGAA